AUUUAUAUAGUUUAAAAAAAACAUUAUAUUUUCAAUAUAAAAUUAAUCAUUCAUUUAUAAAUU
rnacentral:tRNA from 1 species